ACACCUCAUUACAAGUAUGUUAUGGGAGAUAGUGUCAAAAGCCUUGCUGAAGUCUACGAGAACAAUAUCCACCCUCCCUUCAUCCAGUCAGCCAGCGAUGACAUCGUAGAAGGCCAUAAGGGUGGUCAUGUGUCACUCCUGGCAAACUUCUUUUCUUCCGCUUACUUGGUGAUGACAUCUGCAAUAAGCUGUUCCAUAAUCUUCCGAGAACUGGAGAUGCAGAUUUGAGGAAACGGACCCGCAAGGAAAUGCAUAAGGAGAGCCAUCAAGAGUCAGUUUCUCAAAGUAUAUCUUCAGUGAGAAUCAGUCAGUGCAAAAAAACUUAUUAUCUGCUUAUGCACACCUGUACUUCUGGCUUAGAAGAGACACAGAUCAAGAAAGUAAGUGCUCUCUGCUCUAUUGAAGACUUUUCACAGGGAAAUCAGCUGAAGGCAUAAGCACAAAAAUCUACACUUUUCUAUUGUUUACACCAAAUACAAGCCAGUUAGGACUUCCUUCUUUACACAGAUGGUACAUUCAUGAAAUAAGAUCAACCACAGUACUUAUCUAAAGCUGAGUGUAUUUUCAUUGUUAUUCUGACUGAGUGAUUAAUGUUUUGCUCCCCAGCUGUUUUCAGUCCUAUUAAGGCACAGUUCUCCAAACUGCUAGUACACAAAGCCUGUAUAUUUAACCAAAUACUUAAAGCACAUGCCAAACUUGGACAGACAUGUUUGUAUCUUCCAUAUUGGCAUUUCAGUUCUGCAGUUUGGAGAUGUGAAAGAAGCUUCCUCCCCAUGUGCCCAUGCCUGCACAACAUCUAGAAGUCAAUCCUGGUGUUUCAAAGUCUUCAAAGAUCUUGUUGCAAUUGAGACACUGACACACUGGUUUGCAAGCAUUAUCAAGAAGGACUUGAUAUUUACAAAUUUACCAGCUAUUCACUUUUUCUUAUACAACGAGUCUUUAACUUUUCUGUAGAGUCUUACAGAAAGUUUAAAACAAAGCAUAAAAGAUGCCUUCAAUGUUACAUGUCUCCUCUUGUAAGAGGAGAAACAGCAGCAUGACAAAACAAAUAAACCAAAAAAACAAACCAGUCUGAGGCACCAAACUUCAGAAAUAAUUGGUGUGCAUGGAGUACCUCUAGCUACAGAAGUCCCACAACCUGUUAGUAGGAACCCAGACUGUGCAUUAGCUGAAACCUGUCUGACCCUGGGUGAGCAGUGCAAGGUUAAGGGCAGAGCAAGUCAGUGAUGGGCAUAGCCUGAACUUCACAAGUGCUAUUGAUUUUAUUGAUGGAGUCACUGAACUGCUGUUGUACAUUAAGUAGGGAGGAACAAGUGAAAAUUGCAUUAAUUCAAAUUGUUAAAUCAAUAUUUAACAGCAUAUUUAGUGGCUGUUGACCUUAAACGUACCUUCGGUAAAGCAAAGAUAAAUCAGAAAAGCCAGAGUUACAGGCAAUCCAGGUAUC